rnacentral:rRNA from 1 species
GUGGGGAAUAUUGGACAAUGGGCGCAAGCCUGAUCCAGCCAUGCCGCGUGAGUGAUGAAGGCCCUAGGGUUGUAAAGCUCUUUCAGUAGGGAAGAUAAUGACGGUACCUACAGAAGAAGCCCCGGCUAACUUCGUGCCAGCAGCCGCGGUAAUACGAAGGGGGCUAGCGUUGUUCGGAUUUACUGGGCGUAAAGCGCACGUAGGCGGAUUGGUCAGUUAGAGGUGAAAUCCCGAAGCUCAACUUCGGAACUGCCUUUAAUACUGCCAGUCUCGAGUCCGGAAGAGGUGAGUGGAACUCCUAGUGUAGAGGUGGAAUUCGUAGAUAUUAGGAAGAACACCAGUGGCGAAGGCGGCUCACUGGUCCGGUACUGACGCUGAGGUGCGAAAGCGUGGGGAGCAAACAGGAUUAGAUACCCGUGUAGUCC